UUAGAGAGAUGGGCCUCGAACCCAUACUUAAGAAAUCAAAAUCCUUCGUAAUCCCAUUUUACUACCCCCU
rnacentral:tRNA from 1 species